rnacentral:lncRNA from 1 species
UCUUCACACACUCCCUCCCGUAGGAAUAAUUUGGGGGAAAAAUAAAAGAAGGAAAGAAGAAGAGAGAGAGAGAGAGAGAAAAGAGAAGAGCCAUCAACCCUCUCCUUCAUUACAUCCUUCCGUAGCCAAUCUUCAGCAAAAGAAAAUAGAGAAAAGAGAGAAGAGAAAGAAGGGAAGAAAGGAAGAAAGAAGAAGAGGAAACCAUGGAAGCAUGAAGGAAGAAUACGAACUCAAAAGGUAAAACAAAAACUUUUCAUCUCUUUAAUUUUCCUAAGAGUUUGAUUUGUUGAAAGUUGGGUUAUAGGGGAUCAUGAUGGAUCCAAAGUAAUAAGGAAGUAUAUGAUAAAAAUUUUAUGUUUAAUCCAUGUCAUAAUAGAAUUUAAGAUCAAAAAGUUGGGCAUAUGUUUGAGGAUAAACAAAAGUUAUGUUGAGGACUUAAUCAAACUUGUAAAAGUGUUGAUGGUUGAUUUAUGUGUAAAAUCUGAGGAGGAGGAUUUAUAGAUUAAGAAGUUAUGGAAAUAUUCUAAUUUAAAAGAACUAAAAAUGAUUUAAAUUGAAGUUGUGAUGAAAGUUUUUGUAAAACAUGUUAAACGAUGAAAAACUUAGUCUUGGGGGACUUUGGAGCCAAAUUUCAGAAUAAUUAAUGAAUCUAAAAAAUUAUGAAAUCAUGGGGGUUUUGUAGAGCAUGUUACAAGCUUUCCAUAGCCUCGAAAACAGAUUAAUUCCGAUAACGGAUGAAGAAGUUAUGAAGAUUUAAAGUAUGUGUAUCAAAAGUUGUAAAAUCUAAAAAAUUGGAGUUAAGUGCCAAGGGUCGAGUGCCUAGGCACUAGGCUCGGCGCUUAGAAUUUGUUCUUGGGUGCCUAGGUGCUUGCCCAAGGCCAAAUUUGGGCGCCUAGACGCUGGUCUAGUGUUAAGCCAAAAUCUGUUUGGACGUCCUUUAGUAAAUUGGGCAUAACAUUUUUAUACGAACUUCGAUUGAGGUGAUUUAGGAUGAUUCGGAAAGAUAACGAGUAGACCGAAAACUUUCAUUCUUUAUUUUCUGAGAUUUGAGGUCGGUAUCAAGGCUUAAAAUGACUAUUUUAGGGACUGAUGUGCAUUCAGAGGCAAUCGGAGGACGUCGGGCAUGCACGUAUGCAACGUGUAAUAUUUUCGACGAUAAAGAAUGUUGUUCUAAGUUGUAAAAAAUGAACAUUAUUAAAUAUAAUGAUAUUAUGCGAUAAAUAAAGACAACUUAAAUGAACAAUGAAUUAUUAUUUGGUGUAUAUGUUAUUCGAGAUAAUUAUGAUUUGAUGUUGAUCCUUAGUUUUAAUAGAAUUUGAAUUGUUUAUAAGUAAGGUAUUAAUUUGAUUCUUACAUAAGAAGUCACUAUGUAUUUCAUUCAAUAAUUGUCACAGUAGUUAUUACAUAGUGAUUCAUAUUAUUGAUUCUUAAUUAUGUAAGAAGUCACUCAGUCUUUUAUUCAAUAAUUGCCAUAGUAGUUAUUGCACAGUGACUCAUAUUAUUUGAUAUGAUAUAAUUAAACCAGUUGGCAGUAUUGAGAUUCUAUGUUAAUAAUUGUGAAUAAUGGUUCAAAGAUUGAAAAGGGUGUUGAUUAAAGAUAAGUAUGAUAUACAGAUGGUUGUUCAAUUAUUUUCUUUUUUACAAAAGUAAGUUUGGCAGGACUUGCCGACACUCUACUUUUACUAAAGUAGUAUGGACCACAACUCUAUUAUUGAACAAAUUUUAUUAAAACGUGUACAAGUUAGUUUAAUUUUCUCUGUGGGACCAUAAAUUCCACUACCAUUUUUAUAUACCUCAUUUGGUUAAUUUGUCAAAGCAGGUGUGCUAGUUGUUUACUAAAUUUUUAGUAUAAAUAGGUUGCUCGGUUGAGUAACUAAACACACACCAUCACUACACUAAAAAUAUAGAAUUCUUUUACUUCAAUAUUGUGAGUAUAAUAUUGUGAGUAUUUCUAUCGAGUGUAAUGUUACUCCAAGUGUAGAUAAGGAAUGCAAGCAUUGUUUAAGUUGAUCAAUUUCACAGAAAGUAGAAUCAAGUCACAUGUUAAGGUAAGUGAUAUCAUUAUUGUGGUAAAAGGGUAUCAUUUUUAUGGUAAAAGAAAUAUUAUUUUCUUUCAUACUCCAUGUUAUGGUAAAAUAUUAUUAUUCGUUUAUUCAGUUUAUCAUUAAAUGGUGAAAGGUCCUGAAAGGAUUAGAAUAUCCUUAAUAGUUUGUGAUUCAUCUAUUAUUAUGUUAUCAAUUUGGACUCUGGAUAAUUAAGUUAAAAAUCACUAAGAUCUAUGUUAUCUUAUUAUUCUGAUGAUUUAUGUUUAUUCAUUAUAUAUAUCAUUGUCAUCAUUCUCAUGCUUGUAUUGUGUUAAAAGUCAUCUAUGGCCAGUAGUGCAUAGAUGGACUUGGUAUGAUUAUGAACAGGGAUUAUUCGGUAUAAUCAUGACCGUAAUUUUACAAAUGAUGUGGUAAAAGUCAUCUUUGGCCCGUAGUGCAUAGAUGGACUUGGUAUGAUUAUGACCAGAGAUUAUUCGGUAUAAUCAUAACCAUAAUUGAAAACACGAAUAUCCUUGGCCCGUAGUGCAUGGAUAAUUCGUGGUCGUGAUACUAUUAAGCUGAGUCUCAGCAUUAUUGGUUUUACAGUUGUAUAUCUUUGGCCUGUAGAGCAAAGAUGGGCUGUCGCUUAUUGGUUUUACAGUUGUAUAUCUUUGGCCUGUAGUGAAAAGAUGGGCUGUUGAUUAUUGGUUUUACAAUUGUAUAUCUUUAGCCUGUAGUGCAAAGAUGGACUGUUGGUUAUUAGUUUUACAGUUGUAUAUCUUUGGCAUGUAGUGCAAAGUUGGACUGUUAAUUUACUUGAUUAUAAAUAUGAAUUGUGAUUUAAUUAUAAUCUGUGGUGGUUCAGGUGAAGACAGGUGAUGAGAGUUCUCUUUGUCUUGGGUAUAACCAAGAACUGUUGAUGAGUAUUACAGGAAUGAAAUAUUAACGAUGAACUUUUAAUCUAGGGGAUAUAGUAGACACUAUGUUCUACUUGAUUCUUCUAAUGGAUUGUUGAUUCCGCUGCUAUUAUGGUUGGAAACUUUUAUCUUCUACCAUAUGUUCUUAAUAUCUAAAUUAUUAUUGAUGAAGGCUAUUGAUAAUUUAAUUAUCUUAAGUCAUGAUAUUCUUUACUGGGCUAUUUGUGUUUACCCUUUUUCUUCACCACGCCUUUCAGGUAAUAAAAGUGUAGCUGGGACUAGCGGAGAGAACAUGUGUAUAAAGUGGUGAUACGAAUUAGUCACAAGCCUAAUCAAAUUAUGAAACGAUGUGACAUAAUAAUUGUACUGAGAAAUUAAAAUGUGUGUGACAUGUUUUAUACAUCAUUUGAUAUUUAAUUUUGGUGAACAACAAUAGGGUGAGGCGAAUCAGAAUUUGGAAGCGUCAAAGGUGCACUCCAUUAGAAUGAGGAGAACAAAAAUCUUCUCGUGUCCCUUCGGGGACUUGAUAUAAUUGCUGUUGUACUUUAUAUGGCAUUAUAAUAAUUUAAAUAUGAAUAUUGUCGUAUUAUAUACAUAACAAUAUUUGUAUUGAAACUCACAGUAUAUGAGUCGUCGUAUUUUGUACGACAGUUGUAUAAAUGGAGUUGUAAGUAGUGUAUUUUCUGGCAACCCAAGAUGGGUGAUGUAUACCUAUUUUGGGGGCAUCACAUUACUAGUGUUGCUCCAUAAAUAUGCAUAGAGAAUAGAAAUAUAACAAUUAAUAAUAAAGGUAUUAUAGGUAAAUUAUUGUAAAAAAUAGAUCGUUUAAGGUAAGUAGACAUUUAACUUGGGACUACCUAAAGUAGUACUCCCUCCGUCUCAGGAUAAAAGUCUUAGUUGACUUUAUGCGCAUAUUAAGAAAGAAGAUAAAAUGACAAAAUUGUCCAUAUUUAAUUUCUCAUUUAAUUGCAUAGUUUUCUGCACAUUACUAGUGAUGCUCCAUAAAUAUCCACAUAGAAUAUAAAUAUAACAAUUAAUAAUAAGGGUAUUAUAAGCAAAUUAUUAUAAAAAAUAGAUCAUUUAAGGUACGUAGACAUUUAAUUUGGGACUACCUAAAUUAGUAAUAAAGACUUUUAUCCUGAGACGAAGGAAGUAAUAAAGACUUUUAUCUUGGGACGAAGAGAGUAAUUUUUUUGUUUUUUAAAAUGAUGAGAUAAAAUAUAUAAAAUAAAAGAUAAAUAUAUCAUUUAAUAUGAUUUAUUAAUAUAAAAAACUAAAAAUAUUUAUUAUUUUAUAUAAUAUUGCAGGCCAACUAAAGAUAAAUUUAAAUUUAUUUUAUUCUCUUUAUUCUAUUUUUAUUUUAUGUAUAAAUUGUACUUUUUGCGAGUAGUUAUUACGAGACUGUUCUGUUGUCCUUUCAGCCUAUUAUUAUUGACCAAAUUUCUGGCUGACGUUCAAAUUAAUAAACGUAAUCCCUAAAAAACAAAUGCCAAGUUCUUUUCAAAAAACAAUAAUUCUACACCGACCGACAUUUGGUGACAUUUUAGUGACCUGCUAGCCACAUCAACAUGAGAGAGAAAGUGAAAGAAAAAAAGAAAAGAAGGGUCAAUAUACACUAUACAACAACUUCACCAAAGUCAGACUUCACCUCUCUCUUUACCAAUAUCAGAUUUCACCUCUCUCCCUCUCUCGCUAUAACCAAUAUCACACUAUCUCCUUUUCUCACCAAAGUCGCCAUCUACAAAAAUACAGGACCCAAAAUCGGAAGUAAAAUCCAGCAAAAUCAGCACUAAGAGAGGUAUUCAUACACAUAUUGUAUAUAUGAUGUACAUAUAUAUGUAUAUAUUUAUGCCCUAAAACUAAUUUCAAGAUUUUGAAACCCAUUUUUUCGAUGAUACUCUUCUUCACCCUGUUUGCUUCACAAAACCCAUUUAAUAUUUCGCUUAUGCAUGCUAAGCUCAUAUUCUCAUAUUUCUUAUGAUGUAACUUUAUAUUGUGAAUGUUGUUCAUUUGGAUGCCAACUAAAUGUGGUAUUGAAAAAAUAAAAACUUUGGUAAUGAAUGAAUAGAAAUCAACUAAAUGUGAUUGAGCUGUAUAUUGUAAGCCUGAUGCUGGCCUGCUGCGGUGCUGCCCCUCUGGUGAUAAUUUUUUUGGCUAGAAUCAUGCAUAAACAUCUAUGGUAUUCUGGAAUUUAAGUUGUGCACUUGUGGUGUUUGAUAAUUGUCUCAAAGAUGUUCAAUUGUUUUAAAACUAAUUAUUACUCAAUAUUUGGAGUAUGUUCAAGUGUUUCAAAAGUUUUAAAACUAAUUAUUACUCAAUUGUCUCAAAUUGUGGUUUUGCUGAUCUUGACUGAGAUAAUUUGGUCCAUGUUUUGUGCAUGUAAAUAUGAUUGUUUAGGUGCUUUUAACUUGUAUUAGUAUUCGAUCCAAUAAGACAUCUCAGUUGCAUAUUUUCUGACUGCUUUAUGGAUUUUGUUAUUUGUUUUGUGGCUCUCUAAAAUAUUGUGAUAAUAUAUUAUUGUUUCACUUUAUGGUUCAUUGGUUUGCAGUUUGAAUGGUUCAGAAAUUUGUCUUACCAAAUAAGAAUAGAUGGAAAAAGGAAGAAUAUAAAAAAAGUCUAAAUCUUAAUUAAAUUCGUGAUUUAGUUGGCAGCAUAUGUUUUGCAUUUACACAAUAUUCACUUUCUGUUUUUUUUUUCAACCUUUUCAUUCAAAUAUGAACACCCACACAUACACACACUCACAUACUGAUAUAUCAUGAAUACACUUUCAGUCUUUUUUAUGAUCCUUUUUAAAAAAGUAUUUCGUAAGAUAGUAUAAUUGUAUUUAAAUAUUUGCUAGAAUUCAAUACUACUAAAAGAUGUUUGACGGCAGGUCACUAAAAUGUUUUUUUUGGAUUAAUUAUAACCAAUUAGUUUAGAGUUUUUUAGCUAAAGUCCCAAGGACCUUAGAUGGUUCUAAUGAACUUUAGUUAAGUUGAUUGAUUAAUUAAAACCAAACAUAAAUGCACUGUAGUAUUGUUGUUUAAACAUUGCUCUAAAAGCUGCCAAGUUUAAAUUUCAGGGCACAAAAAUUUGUCCACAAACUGCAUUCCACAAACAUUUUGCAUAUUAUUGUGGUUGUUUUUAGAUAUAAACUCAAAAGUCUACACUGCAGUUUUGCUAGAUAUAGUUUGUAAUUUCAGUCUCAUGCUUCUGAUACAUGUCUGGAUUUUUGUUUAUCUAUUAUUUUUGUAGAAAGACAACAUGGCAUCAGGAAACAUGAUAGAGAGCAACGAAUUUGAUUUAAGGAUGCGGUUUCUUGGAAUGGUGCAAAGCUAUAAAUGAAGAAAAAUCAUCAGCAACUAUUGAAAUGAGACAAGAAAUGAAAUUAUUGAAGAAAUUAGUUUUUUUAAUACUUAUUCUCUGUUUGUUUGUUAUUAUGAAAAACUAGUUAUCUUUUGUUGGAAGUUGUAAUGGAAGUGAAGUUGUGAAAGAAAUUAUAAUUGUUUAAAUCUAAUGCAGUUUGACAUCA